rnacentral:tRNA from 1 species
CCGCUCUUAGCUCAGUUGGUAGUAGCGUGCGACUGUAGUUCCUUCUGUCAUCGCACGGUCCCUGGUUCGAAUCCGGGAGAGCGGA